AUAGAUACAGAGAAUAGAUUGGUGGUUGCCAGAGGUGGGAGAAAUAGGUAAACUGCUUUUUAUUACUUUAAAUAAAUUAAAUAAAAAGAAUAUAUAUGUGUAGUGACAGAUGUGUUAAUUAGUUCAAAAGUGGUAAUCCUUUCACAAGUUAUAUGUAUAUCAAAUCAUUAUAUUGUGCACUUUAAAUAUCUUACAAUUUUAUUUGUCCAUUACACCUCAAUAAAGCUGAAAGAAAAAAAGAGAGGAAGAGAGAAGUCAAGGUCAAAGGGGAAGCUUGAAGAGAAACUCAUUUCUCAGACAUCUUACCAGAUGGGUCCCAACAGAAUAAAGUGUAAAUCAUUCUAAGGAACCUGGCACAAUUAGCAAAGGAAAUCACUUGAAAUCUCGUCAUCCAAAGACAAAGUUGGUUAAUAUGUUGGUAAAAUAGCCUCUAGGGAUUUUUCUACAUGUAGUUCCAUUUUUAACAUAGUUACACCCCUAAUAUUUUGUGUCAUGGAAAGCUAAGAUUUUCUGCAAAAGGAACAUAAAUUGCUGAACAACAUAACUGAGUUACUGCAGUAAACAUUUUUUUCCCCACCUGCAGCACUUUCUUCUGAAAUGGGAAAUGUUUUUUUUCCCCCCAUAACCUUAGAAAUAUGGCUAUCUUCUGCUGUAAAAAGGGGGGAAGAUGAAGAAUUAAAAGCAAAAGAAUUUAGAGAAGGGUAGAGAGAGAAAAUAAGAACCUCAAAAGACGCUGUUGAUCUCAGUGUAGUGUAACAAGUAUAAGAUCAUUUCCAUUUGAUUGAUUUAUGCAGGUAUUCUUUUAAGCAAAGGGGCCUUCUCAUCAACUCAAUACCCUCUGUAUCUGUGUUUCAUUUUUUCUUGCUUCAUGUCUAAUUAGACUGGAAGAUGGAUUAUUUCCCCAGAAAAUUUGUAAAAAGAUUAUACAUCUGGAGGCUGUUUGGAUGAGUUCUGUGUCGACACUUCUGUUCUUCCUGUGCAGGAGGCAUAAUGGGGACAGAAUGAGUGGACACAGAUGAUAGUUUGCUAUUAAAUAGUUUCAGUUUCUUUUCAGAAAUCUGAACUGCUCUUCCUUAGUCAUAAUGCACCUCCUUGGGCAGGGUGAACAAAUAUAGACAACUGCAAAGGCUUUACCCAGCAGGCCUUGUGGAUGUGGGGAAGCUGCCCUCCUCACAUCAGACUUGGUGCACGGCAGUGUCUGAAGGAACUAAGGUUCUCAACCCCCAGCUGGUCUGAUCUUUAUGCAUAUCUGCAUUCCAAGCUGAGGCACCUCAUUUGGAGGCCUCCAAAAAGAGCUGGGGCUUCAGGACAUCUUAGCCACUCCGACUCAAUACUUUUCCUCUUCUAGCCCUUCCUUCUCUUCCUCCUCCCAGCCCCUGGGUCCAAAAAACAGCAGGAGCCUUUUGUUCUGGGAUCUUCUCCUUCCCUCCAAUCUGUGAUGCCUGUCAUUUGUCCUUAGCCUCGUGCUGUGCCCUGGGGAAAAAUGGACCAUCAUAGGCAUGGAAGCUGACGCCCUUUCCCCCUUUCCUGUUAAUCCUGUUGCUUAUAGUAUCACAGCAAGUGAAUAAAGGCUUGAUACUUUCAGUUUGAGUCAUUGUCUUCACUGACCAUCUUGAUGCCUGGCAGCUCUCUAGCACCAUCUGCCCCUGUUGUGAUAAACCUUGAAGUUUGUGCAGGGUGGAGAUGCCACAAGACUGAAGCAGCCUGGAAUUCAGAGCCACCGCUUGGAAAACAGUGACCUUGGAGAGUGUCCCACACCCACAGCAGACUUGGGUGCGAAAGCAAUCAACUUUCAUUGAGCCACUGAAAUUUUGGUGCUGUCUUUUACCAUAGCGCAACAAAGCUGAUUAUAAUUGAAAUGGAUAUAAGACUAGACAUGCUAACACUUACCUUUCUCAAACUGUGGACAAGUCCAAGAUGGUGGGAGAGUCAAAGAGAUAAGAGAGGGCCCAGCACUGUGUGAUGUUCAAUGCAGCAGUCACAGAUAACCCACUGGCUACCACGGUCCAGUGAAUUAUGGAAAUCGAGCUUAAGGAGGUGAAGUGAAUGUUCCAAAGUCCUUCCCGAACUGCCUAAUCACAAAGCUGAGACUUUUCCCACUAUGGCUUUAUGACAAAAGCCAGAGUUGUAUAGAAGAAACUCAGACAAGAAAUGUAAACAGGUGUGGAAAUACUACCAGAGUGCUAGGCAGAGCACAGAUCUCUCUGGGUGAUGUUCAACAUUCAGCUGAGGCUGUUUCUACAUGGAGCACGGUUGAUGAAGGUGAUUCAGAAAGCAUUGCUAAGAGUAAUGAAUCCUCCCUCCAGCAGGACUGACCUUAUUUUUCUUUUCUCUGAUUUGAGGAGUUUUUCCAGAAGAAAAUAUGUUGGAUUCAAAAAUCUCAUCACUAUGGCCCUGGAAGCGGUGAUUCCCUGGUUCCAAAAUACAGUGUUUUUUUUUAAACUUCUGUUAACUAGAAUACCCAGAGCAUGGAGUAUCCUGUUUACUCAACUUUAAUUUGUUACUAAAAUCUUUCUCAAGUACAUGUGGAUAAAAGUAUGAGCCCACUCCUCUGCUUUAGUUUUAAUAUAGCAAAAUGAUUCAGAGUAAAUCUUUCUUCGAUGAUUCAGAGCUUUAUUUCAAAGUAAUCUUUUUUUAUGGAACAAUCCUAUAAAUGUAGACAGUAUAGAAAAUUGAGAUGAAUAUGUGCUAACUGCUAGAUAGUCCCUGCAAUCUAUUGUAAAGAAAUCUGUAAUAUCAUUGUUACUAUUCUUUUCUUUUUUUUAAAUAAAUUUAUU